GAUGAACGCUGGCGGCGUGCCUAAUACAUGCAAGUCGAGCGAACAGACGAGGAGCUUGCUCCUCUGACGUUAGCGGCGGACGGGUGAGUAACACGUGGAUAACCUACCUAUAAGACUGGGAUAACUUCGGGAAACCGGAGCUAAUACCGGAUAAUAUAUUGAACCGCAUGGUUCAAUAGUGAAAGACGGUUUUGCUGUCACUAAUAGAUGAAUCCGCGCCGCAUUAGCUAGUUGGUAAGGUAACGGCUUACCAAGGCAACGAUGCGUAACCGACCUGAGAGGGUGAUCGGCCACACUGGAACUGAGACACGGUCCAGACUCCUACGGGAGGCAGUAGUAGGGAAUCUUCCGCGAUGGGCGAAAGCCUGACGGAGCAACGCCGCGUGAGUGAUGAAGGUCUUCGGAUCGUAAAACUCUGUUAUUAGGGAAGAACAAAUGUGUAAGUAACUAUGCACGUCUUGACGGUACCUAAACAGAAAGCCACGGCUAACUACGUG
rnacentral:rRNA from 1 species